AUGGCACCUGCUGCAAGCAUUGACCUCAACCUCAAGCGCGACAUCGACCACCUCGUCGGCGGCUCCACGACACCAACAUCGAAUCCUUCGGUUGUCAUCACUGCGGCGACCGCGACACAUCUGCGCAGCACCUCGUCCACGGCCAGUUGGGUCGCGGCCUUCGUGGGCGCAGCGACGGCGUCGAUCCCGCCCACCAUGUGCUCGACCGAGUGCCCUGGAGAAGAAAACAGUGAAACAAGGACCACGCCCACUUCUACAGCAGCGCCACCGGCAUCAUCCUCGACCAGUGCUAUUCCUGCUACGUGUGAGGUGAGCAUAGAGGUCAAUUCCAUGGCUCUGAUGGAUAUAACCAGUUCUUCUCCAGUCCUCACAAUGCUUACAACCACCCAAGCAUUGUCGCCUACCAAGUGUUCGACAGAAGGCCUGAAUGGCGAGACCAAUGUGGCUUGUCUCAAGUAUUUAGUCAGCUCACAUCACCAGUUGCAGCAGGACGUGUGGCUCGUCGAUUUCAAAACUGAAUUGAAGAAGAGCCGUGAGGAAUUAUUGUUGGCAGCCAGGAAGGAGAUGAACUCAGUAUCCUUGCUCACAAUCAGUAUCUUAUUUCAGUGUGUUACAGGUUAUGGGCUCUUGACAUUGUCGUGGGAUCCUGGACAGCGAGCAAUUGAUUCAUCUACAAUUAUGUGGGAUCGAGGAGGAGCUCUGUUAUUUGGCAAUGUGGACAUUCCAGUUGCACCCUUGGAGUGUUUCCAAUCAGUCCAGUCAGAGCUCCAACGGUUGUCUGAUUUGAAUCCCGUCGAGGUAGAAGUGAAGACAAGAGGAGUGCAACCACUUGUUGAAGUGAUAGCACUAAACUUAGCACUUGGAGGAAUUGCGAAAGGGUGCCAUAUAAUCACUCCGUGCAGCCAGCCACUGAAAAUUUUGGGGCCUCUCCUUGGCGUAUGUGUUAUGGUCCUGGAAGUUCUUUGCAAGUGA
rnacentral:rRNA from 1 species